rnacentral:rRNA from 1 species
AUAUUGAUGAGAGCUGCUCUUAGUACGAGAGGACCGGAGUGGACGUACCGCUGGUGUUCCAGUUGUUCCGCCAGGAGCAUAGCUGGGUAGCUAAGUACGGAAAGGAUAACCGCUGAAAGCAUCUAAGUGGGAAGCCUCCUCAGAGAUAAGUAUUCCCUUGAAAUUCCUUGUAGACGACGAGGUUGAUAGGAUGGAAGUGUACGUGUAGCAAUACAUUUAGCUGACCAUUACUAAUAAAUUGAUAGGUUUAAAAG